rnacentral:misc_RNA from 1 species
UCGUAACAAGGUUUCCGUAGGUGAACCUGCGGAAGGAUCAUUACCGAGUGAGGGUCCCUCGGGGCCCAACCUCCCAUCCGUGUUGUCCUGACACCUGUUGCUUCGGCGGGCCCGCCGUGGUUCACGCCCCGGCCGCCGGGGGGUUCACGCCCCCGGGCCCGCGCCCGCCGAAGACCCCUGGAACGCUGCCUGGAAGGUUGCCGUCUGAGUAUACAAUCAAUCAAUUAAAACUUUCAACAACGGAUCUCUUGGUUCCGGCAUCGAUGAAGAACGCAGCGAAAUGCGAUAAGUAAUGUGAAUUGCAGAAUUCCGUGAAUCAUCGAAUCUUUGAACGCACAUUGCGCCCCCUGGCAUUCCGGGGGGCAUGCCUGUCCGAGCGUCAUUGCUAACCCUCCAGCCCGGCUGGUGUGUUGGGCCGCCGUCCCCCCCCCCCGGGGGACGGGCCCGAAAGGCAGCGGCGGCGUCGCGUCCGGUCCUCGAGCGUAUGGGGCUUUGUCACACGCUUCAGUAGAACCGGCCGGCUUGCUGGCCACACGACCUUCACGGUCACCUAUAUUUCUCUUAGGUUGACCUCGGAUCAGGUAGGGAUACCCGCUGAACUUAAGCAUAUCAAUAA